rnacentral:rRNA from 1 species
CCUACGAGAGUCAGCAGUGAGGAAUAUUGGUCAAUGGGCGCGAGCCUGAACCAGCCAAGUCGCGUGAGGGAAGACGGUCCUAUGGAUUGUAAACCUCUUUUGUCGGGGAGCAAAAGACGCCACGCGUGGCGUUCCGAGAGUACCCGAAGAAAAAGCAUCGGCUAACUCCGUGCCAGCAGCCGCGGUAAUACGGAGGAUGCGAGCGUUAUCCGGAUGUAUUGGGUUUCAAGGGUGCGUAGGCGGAAUGCCAAGUCAGCGGUAAACUCGCGGAGCUCAACCUCGCUCCGCCGUUGAAACUGGCGUUCUUGAGUGGGCGAGAAGUAUGCGGAAUGCGUGGUGUAGCGGUGAAAUGCAUAGAUAUCACGCAGAACUCUGAUUGCGAAGGCAGCAUACCGUCGCCCAACUGACGCUGAAGCACGAAAGCGUGGGUAUCGAACAGGAUUAGAUACCCUAGUAGUC